GUAGUACCUGAAACUAGAGCUGCCCUUCAAUGGCAGAAGCAGAGAAAACUGGAAGAAAUACAAUAAAGGGAAAGAUAGGAGAUAGAAAAGAAGCAGAAAACAAAACAUCAUCAAAGUCGAAAUGGCCUCUCAUUAAACACAAGAAGAAUCUCCAAAUUACUCGUCUCAAAGAGAACGAUCUCUUUACUGUACAAGGCUGGUCAGCACUUUGGAUGACAUGUUGAUGGAAGUGUUAAUCUGGGUGAUGGGAAGUGCACUCAUUAUACUCUUUUAAUAUAUUUAAGUGGUGCGAAUAAAGCCAAAACUAAAACUGAUCCAAACAGCCAGAUGGAUUCUUUCUCAGAGCCUCUAGUUGGAGGAGAGACUGUCUUCUAUGGCUCAAGGAAUAGUGUUUUGGCUGAUGUGGCUCCUGCUGAAGGGAUGGUUCUCCUACAUAUUCAUGGGGACAAGUGUAUGCUGCAUGAAGCUCGGAAUGUUACUAAGGGUGUGAAAUACAUUUUCCGUUCAGAUGCAUGUUUUGCUUGAAUCUCUACGAUCUUUUUUAUAUCAAGCAAUCUCUGUAAGCUUUUCACUUUAGGUCCCUCAACUUAUACUGUCUUAUAUUUUCCCGUGUUAAAACAGGAUCCCGACUUCUUUUAAUUUUUUUUAAUUUUUCUUGGGUUCAUCUUGGGAUUACAUUUGAAAUUUUGGCACAUCUUGUUGUAAUUUACUAUUCUUCUUAGACAAACCCAAUUUUUGUAUUGUGGAGGUAACUCAACAUGUAAAAUGAGCCGGCCUGGGUGUAGCUCUUGUAAUGCCAGGAUCAUUUAUCCAAGAGAAGUUUGUGGAUUCCAUUGUUCUUUCUGUAUGCUGCUGCUGAACAAUGGUGUUGUAGAAUGCACAUUAGUCUGUUGACUUUGCCUUCUCCUUUUCUGAAAGGCAGUCUGUUGGCGAUUUGUCAUUACUGGAUUGAGAUUUGAA